rnacentral:rRNA from 1 species
AACGCUGGCGGCAUGCCUAACACAUGCAAGUCGAACGAAGGCUUCGGCCUUAGUGGCGCACGGGUGCGUAACGCGUGGGAAUCUGCCCUUGGGUUCGGAAUAACAGUUAGAAAUGACUGCUAAUACCGGAUGAUGACGUAAGUCCAAAGAUUUAUCGCCCAGGGAUGAGCCCACGUAGGAUUAGCUAGUUGGUGAGGUAAAGGCUCACCAAGGCGACGAUCCUUAGCUGGUCUGAGAGGAUGAUCAGCCACACUGGGACUGAGACACGGCCCAGACUCCUACGGGAGGCAGCAGUGGGGAAUAUUGGACAAUGGGCGAAAGCCUGAUCCAGCAAUGCCGCGUGAGUGAUGAAGGCCUUAGGGUUGUAAAGCUCUUUUACCCGGGAUGAUAAUGACAGUACCGGGAGAAUAAGCUCCGGCUAACUCCGUGCCAGCAGCCGCGGUAAUACGGAGGGAGCUAGCGUUAUUCGGAAUUACUGGGCGUAAAGCGCACGUAGGCGGCUUUGUAAGUUAGAGGUGAAAGCCUGGAGCUCAACUCCAGAAUUGCCUUUAAGACUGCAUCGCU